CUCAGAGAAAUUUGAGCUAAUACCGUAUGAUGACGUAAGUCCAAAGAUUUAUCGCCCUGGGAUGAGCCCGCGUAGGAUUAGCUUGUUGGUGAGGUAAAGGCUCACCAAGGCGACGAUCCUUAGCUGGUCUGAGAGGAUGAUCAGCCACACUGGGACUGAGACACGGCCCAGACUCCUACGGGAGGCAGCAGUGGGGAAUAUUGGACAAUGGGCGAAAGCCUGAUCCAGCAAUGCCGCGUGAGUGAUGAAGGCCUUAGGGUUGUAAAGCUCUUUUACCCGGGAAGAUAAUGACUGUACCGGGAGAAUAAGCCCCGGCUAACUCCGUGCCAGCAGCCGCGGUAAUACGGAGGGGGCUAGCGUUGUUCGGAAUUACUGGGCGUAAAGCGCACGUAGGCGGCUUUGUAAGUUAGAGGUGAAAGCCUGGAGCUCAACUCCAGAAUUGCCUUUAAGACUGCAUCGCUUGAAUCAUGGAGAGGCGGGUGGAAUUCCGAGUGUAGAGGUGAAAUUCGUAGAUAUUCGGAAGAACACCAGUGGCGAAGGCGGCCCGCU
rnacentral:rRNA from 1 species